rnacentral:rRNA from 1 species
UACAGAGGGUGCGAGCGUUAAUCGGAAUUACUGGGCGUAAAGCGUGCGUAGACGGUUAUCUAAGUCGGAUGUGAAAGCCCAGGGCUCAACCCUGGAAGUGCAUCCCGAACUGUGUCGCUUGAAUCUCGGAGGGGGACAGAGAAUUCCCGGUGUAGAGGUGAAAUUCGUAGAUAUCGGGAGGAAUACCAGUGGCGAAGGCGCUGUCCUGGACGAAGAUUGACGCUGAGGUGCGAAAGCGUGGGGAGCGAACAGG